rnacentral:rRNA from 1 species
UGGGGAAUAUUGCACAAUGGGCGAAAGCCUGAUGCAGCAACGCCGCGUGAGUGAUGAAGGCCUUCGGGUUGUAAAGCCCUGUCUUUUGGGACGAUAAUGACGGUACCAAAGGAGGAAGCCACGGCUAACUACGUGCCAGCAGCCGCGGUAAUACGUAGGUGGCAAGCGUUGUCCGGAUUUACUGGGCGUAAAGGAUGCGUAGGCGGAUUUUUAAGUGAGAUGUGAAAUACCCGGGCUUAACUUGGGUGCUGCAUUUCAAACUGGGAAUCUAGAGUGCGGGAGAGGAGAAUGGAAUUCCUAGUGUAGCGGUGAAAUGCGUAGAGAUUAGGAAGAACACCAGUGGCGAAGGCGAUUCUCUGGACCGUAACUGACGCUGAGGCAUGAAAGCGUGGGUAGCAAACAGGAUUAGAUACCCUGGUAGUCCACGCCGUAAACGAUGAGUACUAGGUGUAGGAGGUAUCGACCCCUUCUGUGCCGCAGUUAACACAAUAAGUACUCCGCCUGGGAAGUACGAUCGCAAGAUUAAAACUCAAAUGAAUUGACGGGGUCAAUAGCUG